CAGAGGUUGAGCGACUUGUCCAAAGUCACAUAACUAAAAACACAGAGCAUGGUGAAGAAGAAAAGGCUUUCAAUUUGGAGUCAGACGACAUCUGUUCAUUUAAGUGAGGAAAUUGAAGCUCAGAGACAUUAACAGACCCACCACGACACUGCUAGGUGGGAUUUGAACCCAGGUUUCCUUGACUUCAUGACUUCCACUAUCUUGUGUUGCCUACAUAUAUUUGUGCGGCUUUGGCCAAGACCCCUCACUUCUGAGAUCCUCAUGUUUUUCAUCUACGUGGAUUCUAUUAGAUUUAAUUCAAUUCAAGAAGCAUGUAUGUAUUAAGUAACCACUGUGUGCAAAGCACUGUCCCAUGUCCUGGAGAUGAGUGAUCUUUUUAAAGCCUCUGCCCUCAAGGAACUUACAUCCAAUGACGGUACAUGAAAACAGAUAAGAAAU